GAUAAAUGUUUGAUUGGGUGUACGUC
rnacentral:misc_RNA from 1 species